AAACGAGGAACUAUUUAUCAAUCUAUCGAUCCGUUAAUUAAUACUCCGCCUGCAGGUGGAAUCCCCGCGGGCCAGCCAAUCAGGGGCGGUUUGCUCACAAAGGGGUCCGAUUGUCUGCGCGGAAUUCUCCGCGGGCCGCGUUCUAGGAAGCGAGGCGCCGAAAAGGAAGCGGCGGAGUCAGCGAGGCAUCAAACGGGAGAGAUCCGCAACCAUCCUUUUUUUGUUUUUGUAAUCUCGGCCGAGGAGUCGCUGCCGCUGGUCUGUUGAUUUUCGGAGGGUCUCCGUAAUCAGGAAGUCGGAGAGGAGAGUUUACCUGGGCGCAAAGUUACGCGCCAGGCGGAAAACGCGGUCAGCCUUGCUGGAGAGAAAAGAAACAGAAGGCGCCCAGGGGUUGAUAUCCGGAGGAAAGGGAGGACUCACACUUUGCUUUGACAAGGAUCAGCCAGUUUCCUUUAGCACAAACCUCCACCAUUAAUAGGAGAGAACAUGAAGGCAAUGCGCCGAAGAGGGUCCCUUGCUAGGAGUGAGUGCUCUGACUACACGGAGAAAGAAAAGGAGGUGAUGGCUGAAGUUGAGUUAAGGAAACUGCAGCAACAGUUUCGGAUCAUGGUGGAGAGCCGGAAGUCUUCUGGAGUCAAGACUCAACAGCUGUUGUUCCAGCAGGGUAAACAAAUCAGUGCCUUGAAGCAAGAGUACGAUGAGAUAAAUUUACUCCUGAGUCUCACCAAGUCACCCCGGAACAUCUUCAUAGAUGAGCAGAACUGCACGGAGCUCAAAUACCUUCUGCAGACCAAAGAUGAAUACGACGCUCUCAUUGCCGCCACCAAGGCCUUGAUUGUUGAACUUGACAGUAAGGUAAUGGAACUGGAGGAUAAGAUUAAAAAGCAAAAAGUGCUUGUGAUCAAACUGAGGCAGGAAUACGACGGGAAAUGGCUCCAGAAGCAGAUCCAGCUGCUGGAUAACCGGCUCAACCAUGUGACCGUUUAUUUUGAUACCGUGUUGACCACAAAUGCCAGGCUUCGUGAAGAGAUAGGGAACCUCCAGUGCCAGAAGUCGGUCUUUGACCAUAUCUAUUCACAGCUCCACAAGAAGCUGGAGCAACAGAAGAAGACCAUGGACGUGUCCAUCGAGCAGUCGACGCAAGCCUAUGAGCAAAGGGUUGAAUCGCUUGCGAGGAUUGCUGCUAUGAAGGAACGGCGCUGCAAGGACAUUGCGCAGUUCAACAUUGAAUAUCGCGAGCUGGAACGCAUCUACAACCACGAGACAAAGCUGAAGGCGUUUAUGUACAUCAAGCUGAUAGACCGUUCAGAAAUCGAGGAGGAAGCAAAAAAGAAAGAAGCUCUCAAGGCCAGUAAGCGGGCCAAGACCAAGGGAGAGAGCUUUGAGAGCUACGAGGUGGCCUACAUGCGUCUGCUGAAGCUGACAGAAAAUGGCAACAUUGACGGGCUGGUGGAGGACUUCAUCGAGAAGGAAGAGAAGAACUUUGCCUUCUUCAGCUACGUCACUGAACUCAACAAUGACAUGGAGCGGCUGCAGAAGAACAUCGAGGAUGUCCAGAAUGAAAUCACCCAGCUGAAACUUGAACAGCAGAAGAGCACAGACAUCAUACACGGCCACAUGAAGGAACUAGAGGAGAAACUGCAGAAAACGACAGAAGAUGCCAAUGCGUACGAGUACAAACUGAAGGAAAGCAGCAAAAUCCUGGACCAGCUGAAAUCCGCGGUGGACUUCCUGUUCAAGCAGACGGGCUGUGACGCCACCAAGAUCAGAGAGCACCUGGGCGAGACCGGGGAAAUCACGGAUCAGAACCUGAUGCAGUAUUUCAGUAUUGUUGAGAAGAAAAGCAACGACCUUCUGCUGAUCGAAUCUUUCUUACGCUACAAGGAGGUAGAGGGGGAGCUGGACACUGUACCGAUGCUGAAUCCAUUUUUGGGAGGUUCUGCCUUGCUGAAAAAGCUGGAACCCAUUAAAAUUGCUCCCCCAGCCAUCAGCCUGGAUCCUUUUGCGGACAUUCUGGAGCCGUUGGAGGGACCUUUAAACCAUGAAAAUCUCCGUGCCAUGGUUCUGGAGAAUUUGGAAAAAGAAAAAUCCAGGAAGAGCUCCUUCGACAGAAUCGAUAACAGCUUCCGGGAGAAGAAGAAACCACUGACACCAUAGAUGUAGAGAGAAACGGGUGCAAGAGGGUGCUGGGUGUGAAGAACUGUGUUUUUUUUUUUUAACGCUCACUUUGUUUAGAAAUAUGCUUUGUACAAAAUCCAGAAAGGUUUCUCAAGGUGGACUGUUUUAUAUACCUGUAGUGCUAAAGAAAUUAUAAAUAAAGAAGGUUGUUUGAGCCUUCCGUUCCUACAGCCUGCCCUUACUUACUCUCCAUUGAAAAGGAUGUUCCCCAAAUUCUUGGCAAUGUUUUUAUUCAGCUGUGAAAAGUUAAUGUAAUUUUUUGUGGACUACAACUCCCAUAACCCCCCCCCCCCCAGUCACUUUGCUGGCUAGGAGAUUCUUGGAGGUGUGGUUUGAAGGAAUUAUGUUUCCAUUCUAUAAUUUGAUUACAGCUUUUCCCAAUUUGGAGAUGUGUAGAUACACUGGACUAUAAUGUGCAUCGCCCUCCAAGAGUGAUGGGAGUUGUAGUCUCCUCCUCUGCAUGGCACCAAGAAAGCUGUUCUACUGUCUUAUUUGUGUUUUCCUAUCUGCUGAGGAAUGAGUGUCAUCCGUUUACAUCUUUUGUGGCGUUUAUUUGAUGCAUUUUAAGUGUAUCUCUUGAUCCAAAUUCUUCUCUGACAGAGCUAUUUCAGGAUUUGGGUGCGAGUGCUCAGAGGUGGAGCCUUUCCUCUCUAACAACACAUGAAUGGCAAAGGGCAGACCUGUGAGAUGAUGGGCGUUGUAGUGGCCACUCGAUUGAGGAAAGAUGGCAAGCAUCCUCGCUGGAUAGCCCCGUCCCACCAUCCCUUUCAGAAACCUCCAAGGUCACCCACACCAGUGUUGCAACAUGGAAUAGUUUAGA